CUGGCCAGCAAUUACUUGGGAGUUAAGGAUCAUAAACUCUUCGAAGAGAUCGAGGAGUUAAUUCGGACCAUAGAGGUGACUCCAGCUGAAGUAGCUGAACAGCUGCUAAAGAGCGAUGAACCUGAUGUCUCACUUGCUGGCCUGAUCAGUUUUCUUCAUGCAAAGAGAAAGGAAAAUGAAGAGGCCAAGGCCAAGAAAGAAACAGAGGUGGCUGCAUCAGUUGCAGAGGCAGAGGCAGUGGGAGAUGGUGAAAAGAGCGAUCAGAGUCAAGAAUCUGACAAAAAUCAGAAAUAACAAGCUGUUUUCUAAUUGUUCAUUGAGUAUUAUAUUACCCGACACUUUAUUUUGAUUCGAAUAUCUGUGUCGGACAAAAUUUAGAAUAAAAACAUGUAAUUCUCAAAAUCUGUGUAAUUUAAAUUGAGCCACAGUUGUUCAAAUAUGUAACCAAACCAAAAAAUAUAACCGGAUCAACAUACAUGAUUCUUGAUCUGUAUCUUUAAGCUUUUUACCAUAUUCAAAACUCAGCACUUAACCAAGGAACAUAAAAACCCUGAUGAAAGACUUGAGAACAAAUCAAAUAUUCUCAUAUAAUUUCGAGCAAUGCUAAAAUCCAACUUUUUCUUGAAUAUGUGCAUAAAAUAUUGACACGCAUGGGAAAUGGUCAGAAUUCCAUUUCCGUUUCACAUCUCUUUCAUUUUGCCUUUUGUGUUUUUUAAAGCUAAAACGUCGCUAUAAUUCAGUUUUGUGCUACUAAUGCAAACACUGGGGAAUAACUUUUGCUCCAUCACGACAAUGCAGAAACCUUUCGUAUUAGCUAGGCAAUCGAAACUUUUUAAACGUGUGGCACCAGAUGUUGGAUUUUCUCAAAAUAUUUAAUUCUUUUAAAUAUGAAUUAGCACCUAAAAUGGAAUGAGUAACCAAUAAAACAGACCUUACAAGAAAUAUUCCUUAAACAUAAAUACGUCUUAGACACAUAGACUUGAAGUUUGAUGUGAUUUUUGUACGAAUCUAAAACCGACAAUAAUAGAGACUUAGGAAGUUAGUUUGGUUUAACCUAAAGAAGAUGUUUAUUAUUUACAAGUGAAAAGUUAUUUAUAAAUUUAAAAUAAUUUUUAAUCUAUGUGUUUGAAAUAUUUUUUGAUAUUUACAACUUUUUGUAUAUAAAAUUAAUUAAUAUAAUAAUAAAUUUUAAUAAAUUAUAUUUUAAAAUAGUUCUUUACAUGUUCGUGAAAUCAAAAUUUUAUAAAUAAAAUUAAGUUGCUAAAAAAAAUAGAAUUUUCAAUUUAUAAAAUUCUUACAUAUAAGUUAGAAAUUGACUUAUAAAUUAUUAUAUGAAUAUCACGAAUAAACUAGAAAUAAGUUUAACAUCUAAAAUUUAUUUUAAUAAAAUUAGAAAUAAAUUAAAAAUAAGUUGUUUCAACUCACCAGCCAGAAACUGGGUUUAAAACGCUACCUAAGUUAGAUGCGGUUUCUAUACAAAUCACGAAACCAAAUUUGAUACAGGGAUGGAAGAUACAAAUGUUCUGGUAAAGAUGAACCAAAUGAACCAGAUCUGAAUGAAUCGUAUACGCAGAUCCCCAGAAUAGAAACAAAUUCAACCAGUAUCAAAACCGAUCCGUAUAUUUCAAGAAGCUGGAGAUUUGAGCGUCAAAAGCUUGUACCAAAAGUCUUGCAAUGAGAUCCUAAAGGAUAACCUGGCAUAUUCAGCUUUAACAGAUCAGAGACAAACAAGGAAACUCUUGAUUCCUGCUAAACAGUCACAUGGUAAAUUUCUAUAACAUGCAUGCAUAGUGAAACCCAAUAUUCCUACCUACUAUUAUUAUUUGCUAAUCCAUCACUUGAUUGGUGUGGACUAACCAUACACAUGGGGACAACAUGUCCGUCUCUAUAAUGUAUCUUUUCAUACCAGUUGUAUUUUUUGAUAGAAACAAGCAGCAAAAGCAUGCUUGGACACUUCUUUCAGGUGGCAGUGGAAAGUCCAGUCAUAAGUCAUGUCCUCGCGUGAAAAUAAUAUACCAAUGCUUGCCUCUUUGGCAUUGUUCCAUCACUUCCGGUCAUUUUCUUUGGGUUUUUCGUUACUGGAUUGAUGCAUCAGUAAGGUUUAUCCUCUGUGGAUUUCCGAUUCGAAAUUCAUAAAUUUUGAUAUUCCAUCUGUCCCAUUCAUUUUUAUACAGUUUUGAAGAUACCAGUAAGUUUUAUUUUAUGUCCGUUCAAAGAUUUUAAUAUGGCUUAUCCUAUAAUAUUCUGUCAAUUCGCGAUUAGGAGAUUUUGAUAAGACUACCUACUAAGAGAUUCGAAAAUUUUCAUACAUUUUAAAAUUCGAAGAUUUAAUAAAAUUUAUCCCCUUUUGAUUUGAAAUUCGUAGAUUUCUUUAAUGAAAUCAAGAUUCCGGACAGCCGGUGAGCCGGACACUAUGCAAUCUAUACUAUAAUAUAAUAAGCCAACAUAGGUUUAAUUUGUAGUCGUACAAAAUUUUGGUUUGGUCAUCUCCUUUAUAACUCAUGGAGACUUCUUUUACUCUUACAAUAUUAAAGAGUUUUAUACCAUUCAAAUUACAAACACAUGUGAUGUAAUACAAGGUAAAAAAACUCCACCAUUAUUCUUUUAGAUAUAAUUUAUAUAUUAUUUAUAUACUAUAUUAUAUAUACCGAUAUUGGUAUAAUUCGUAGUCGUCCAAAAAAUGUAAUCAGUUGGUAAUUAUAAUAUGGUUAAAAUCUAAUUUAUUAAUAAUAAAAUGAUAUUAAAAUUUAAAUUAUAAUUAAUAAAUUACGAAUUCUAUACCCGUCUGUGCUUCGCACGGGUUAAAGGCUAGUAUAUGUAAGAAGUAACAUUUCAUUUCGCACAAGGCCACAACCCCACCGAGUCACUAAACUUCUCUUUUAACUUUAUGCACUUUAACUAAGCAACUCCUCUUGUCAGUAUUUAACGGUGCUGGCUAGUUUAAAAUCUGGCUCCUGACCCACCAACUGAUAUGGAGUUCACUAAAACCUAAAAAGUCGCCAGUACUCACAAAUAGUCCUACAAGAAAUUUCCACACACUUUCCAUGCGAGACUUUGGGUCCGUCUGCUGUGUUAAAUAGAAGGGCUUAAUGUUUAUUUUUAAAUGAAAAUAAUUUAUUUCUAAAAUUAUUAAUAUAAUAAUAAAGUAUUUAAAUUAUUUUUUAACAUUGUCUGUUAUUUUUUAAAAUCAGAAUUUAAAAUUAAUUUAAAAAAAAUGAUUUCAACUUCUUAGAUCCUGAAUUAUAAAUCAAAAAAUAAUUUAUAAAAUUUUUACACAAAAAAUACGAAUGAAAUGCUUGAGACCAAAUUAAGGGUCGUUUGGGUGAGUUUAAAAUAAGUGCUUCUUGCUUAAAAUAAAAAAGUGGAGCAAAAGUUAGAAGCAAGUUAAGAUUUACAAGUGACUAAAGUGUUUGGAAAAGAAGUAAAAGCCCUAAAACAAAAGUUAGCAUUCCUGACUUUUUAUAAACGUUUCUUAUUUUUUACACAAACGGCACGAAUAAGUGCUUUAAACACAGAAGUCGGGCUUCUAAGUCAUAAACAAACACCCUCUAAGUGGGUGUUUGUGUGGGACUUUUAAGUCCGGCUUCUGAAGUUAUAUAUUACAAGCAUUUAUUUGUACAGUUCGUAUAAAAAGUCGAGCAAUACCCGUAAAAAGUUAAAAAUCCUAACUUUUAUUCAUAAUUUUUUACUUUUUUCCCCAAACACUUUAAUUAUUAUACGUCUUACCUAACUUCUAACUUAUUCUUCACCCUUUUUAUUUUAAAUAAUAAACAUUUAUUUUAAACUCACUCAAACUGCCCUAAGUUCAAAGGUAACCUUACUAGUUACACAGGAAAGCCUCUCUCAAAUAAAGCUCACACCAAGUCACUCAUAAGUUAUUACACAACUCAAGAGUUCAAUUCUGAAACUAAACAUGGUGAGUCUCACCGACUUGCCUUCCCCAUCAACAGCUUACGCUGCAUACGCUUCGAUCUCAGCUUCUUUCAUGCUCCUGCAGACCACUUUUCACCAAAUAGUCCCUCGCCCUGUGCAAGAUUUUCUCCUCUCGGCCUUCUUCCGAAUCUUCAAGCGCACCAACACCUCUCUACUCAACCUGGUGAUCGAUCAGUUCGAUGGCAUGUCACGAAACGACCUCUUCGAUUCCUUCGAACUCUACAUGUCUACCAAAACCAAUCCCAAGACUCACCGUCUCAAGCUAACCAAGAGCUCCAAAGAGAAACACAUUAACAUCAAACUAGCCCAGUCUGAAAAAAUCAUGGAUGUUUUCCAAGACAUUGAGAUAAAAUGGCUAUUUAUCUGCGAAGAAUCAGAUAAUUCCGCGAGGAAUAGCAGUGGCAGACCCAGCUCCAAAAUUCCGGACGAUUUUGGAAAUCGUCCGUGGCAGUUCAAGACUAAGCAGUGGUUCGAGCUUAGUUUCGAGAAGGUUCACAAGGAUGUUGUGAUCAAUUCUUACAUACCUUACGUCCUGGAAGAAUCGAAGGCUAUUAGGAAUGCGAAGAAAGUUGUGAAGCUGCACACGCUGGCUAACAACGCGUAUUUUGCGGAAACGCCUGCCUGGGAUUCGAUCAAUUUGGAGCAUCCUUCCACGUUUGAAAAAUUGGCGAUGGAGCCGAGCGAGAAAAAAGCGCUGAGAGACGAUCUGGAUUUGUUUGUGCAGAGGAAAGAGUAUUACAAGAGUGUGGGAAGGGCUUGGAAAAGAGGGUACUUGUUGUACGGGCCUCCGGGGACAGGGAAAUCGAGUUUGAUUGCUGCCAUUGCUAAUUAUCUAAAAUUUGAUAUCUAUGAUUUGCAGCUUAUGAAUGUGAAGCACGAUUCGGGGCUCAGGAAAUUGUUGUUGGCGACGGCAAAUAGAUCGAUUCUUGUGAUUGAAGAUAUUGAUUGUAGUGUGGAGUUACCGGAUAGAAAUGCUAAACCAGUUCCAUCUGAUCGCCAUCCUCGCGAUGUGCAGGUAAAGUUCAGCCACCGCUCUGUAAUUUACUCCAUUCUAAAAAUUUGUGUUAGUUUUUUUUUAACUUAAUUUGAUAGUAACUAUAUCUGAAUUAGUACACAAUGCUCUUGUUUCGGGUAAUUAAGUGUUUGUUUUGUAAUUUGAGUAGUGAUUAUUAUAACCCAACUGGGACAAUUGAUGAUUGUGGUUGUUGCAGUUUACAUUAUCAGGACUAUUGAACUUUAUUGAUGGGCUAUGGUCAAGCUGUGGAGACGAAAGAAUCAUAAUCUUCACGACGAACAACAAGGAGAAGCUGGAUCCUGCAUUACUGCGUCCUGGACGGAUGGACAAGCACAUUCACAUGUCUUAUCUGUCAUUUAACGGAUUCAAAACAUUAGCUUCUAAUUAUCUGGACCUAAGAGAUCAGCAUUGGCGAUACGGGGAGAUAGAAGAGCUAAUUGGGAGUACUGAAGUCACCCCUGCUGAAGUUGCUGAAGAACUUAUGAAGACCAGUGAUGCCGAUGCUUGUCUUGGAGGACUUGUUAGUUUCCUCAGAGGAAAGAAGAGAGAAAGGAGCGUUGACGACAAGGAUGAUGAAGAAUGUGCUGAUGGGAUUCAACCCAUCCCGGAAGCCAAAAGAAUAAAAGCUAAUGGCUGGCAGUGAUCUAGCUUGUUAAGUUUUUUUAUUUAGAGCUUGAUUAGCCUAGUGUUAUCUUUGGCCUUACUGAUGUUCGAUUCUCGCUCACCUCAGAUUCAUCGACAAAACAGAAAAGAUGUCUGAUUACUGUAUGACUUACGGUAAUUGUUAAUUAAUAGUCCCAAGAUUAAGGUUUUUUCCUGCAUGCUACGUUUCUAUGCAGGGGUGAAGUCCCUAAUGGAAACAAAUGCCUUUGAUCAAUUCUCUCUUUAAAUCACAAUGCACGUAUGUACCUAAACCGCCAGUUAAUUAUAAACUUGUAGAUUAAUCAAAACUGUAGAUCACUUGAACAAAAAUGACUGCAAUGACGAGUUUGAAUGCUCUGCCUUCAGCCAGAAGUGUUUAUGCUGCAUACGCUUCCAUUUCAUCAUCAGUCAUGCUUCUUAGGAGCACUUGCCACCAAAUAGUCCUCGUAAAGUUCAAGAAUAUUUUCUCUCUACGGUCUCUGGCUUCAUCCACCGGAUUGCUCACUCUGAUUGUCGAGAAGUUUGAUCAAUCUUCAUAACAGAACUAUCUGUUUAGAUCCUUUGAAAUUUACAUGUCCACCAAAGCUACUGCAACAACCAAUCAUCUCAAAAUUACAAAGCUGAGCCAGAAAAGCAACCAGCUCGCUACCAGAUUAACCCAAGCCGAAACGACUACUGACUUCUAUAAAGGUGUUAAGAUUGUUAUACAAUCUGUGCAAAAAGAAACAGUGUUUGUGUGUGCAAAACAGGAUCAACAUGCAUGUUCUUGAUCUGUAUCUUUAAGCUUUUUAUUAUAUUCAAAACACAGAACUUAAGCAAGGAACAUAAAAACAUUGAUGAAAGACUUGAGAACAAAUCAAAUAUCCCCAUGUAAUUUGGAGCAACGCUAAAAUCUAACUUUUUCUUGAAUAUGUGCAUAAAAAAUUGACACACAUGGGAAAUGGUCAGAAUUCCAUUUCAGUUUCACAUCUCUUUCUUUUUGCCUUUUGUGCUUUUUAAAGCUAAAACGUCGCUAUAAUUCAGUUUUGUGCUACUAAUGCAAACACUGGGGAAUAACUUUUGCUCCAUCACGACAAUGCAGAAACCUUUCUUAUUAGCUAGGCAAUCAAAACUUUUUAAAUGUGUGGCACCAGAUGUUAGAUUUUCUCAAAAUAUUUAAUUCUUUUAAAUAUGAAUUAGCACCUAAAAUGGAAUGAGUAACCAAUAAAACAGACUUUACAAGAAAUAUUCCUUAAGCACAAAUAGGUCUUAGACACAUAGACUUGAAGUUUGAUGUGAUUUUUGUACAAAUCUAAAACCGACAAUAAUUGAGACUUUAGGAAGUUGUUUGGUUUAACCUAAAGAAGAUGUUUAUUAUUUUUAAGUGAAAAGUUAUUUAUAAAAUAAAAAUAUUUUUCAAUCUAGGCGUUUGAAAUAUUUUUUGAUAUUUAUAACUUUUCAAAUAUUAAAUUUAUUAAUAUAAUAAUAAAUUAAAUUUUAAAGUGGUUCUUUACAUGUUUGUGAAAUCAAAAUUUUAUAAAUAAAAUUAAGUUGCUAAAAAAAUAGAAUUUUCAAUUUAUUAAAUCCUUACAUAUAAGUUAGAAAUUGACUUAUAAAUUAUUAUAUGAAUACCACGUAUAAACUAGAAAUAAGUUUAACAUCUAAAAUUUAUUUUAAUAUAAUUAGAAAUAAAUUAAAAAUAAGUUGUUUUCAACUCACCAGCAGUGUUGUAAAAAGCGGGGAUCGGACUUAAUAGGUGAAGUCACGAAAGAAGGAUUAAUCGGGGAUUAAUUGAAUUGAUCGGAAAUUAAUCGGAUUGAUCGGUGAUUAAUCGGAGAUUUAAUCAGUUUGGCAAGCUACGGAACAGAAAUUAAUCGGUGAUUAAUCAUGAUUAAUCGGCGACUUUUUAAACAGAGCUCAUCAGCCAGAAACUGGGUUUAAAAUAAGUUGUAUAGAUGCGGUUUCUAUACAAAUCACGAAACCAAAUUUGAUACAGGGAUGGAAGAUACAAAUGUUCUGGUAAAGAUGAACCAAAUGAACCAGAUCUGAAUGAAUCGUAUACGCAGAUCCCCAGAAUAGAAACAAAUUCAACCAGUAUCAAAACCGAUCCGUAUAUUUCAAGAAGCUGGAGAUUUGAGCGUCAAAAGCUUGUACCAAAAGUCUUGCAAUGAGAUCCUAAAGGAUAACCUGGCAUAUUCAGCUUUAACAGAUCAGAGACAAACAAGGAAACUCUUGAUUCCUGCUAAACAGUCACAUGGUAAAUUUCUAUAACAUGCAUGCAUAGUGAAACCCAAUAUUCCUACCUACUAUUAUUAUUUGCUAAUCCAUCACUUGAUUGGUGUGGACUAACCAUACACAUGGGGACAACAUGUCCGUCUCUAUAAUGUAUCUUUUCAUACCAGUUGUAUUUUUUGAUAGAAACAAGCAGCAAAAGCAUGCUUGGACACUUCUUUCAGGUGGCAGUGGAAAGUCCAGUCAUAAGUCAUGUCCUCGCGUGAAAAUAAUAUACCAAUGCUUGCCUCUUUGGCAUUGUUCCAUCAAUUCCGGUCAUUUUCUUUGGGUUUUUUGUUACUGGAUUGAUGAUGCAUCAGUAAGGUUUAUCCUCUGUGGAUUUCCGAUUCGAAAUUCAAAAAUUUUGAUACUUCCUCCGUCUCAUUCAUUUUUAUACAGUUUUGAAGAUAUCAAUGAGUUUUAUUUUUGUCCGUUCGAAGAUUUUAGUAUGGUUUAUCCUAUACCAAUUCUGUCAAUUCACGAUUUGAAGAUUUUGAUAAGAUUACCUAUUAACAAUUUGAGAUUCGAAAAUUUUCAUACUGUUUAAAAUUCGAAGAUUUUGAUAAAAUUUAUCCCCUUUUGAUUUGAAAUUCGUAGAUUUCUUUAAUGAAAUCAAGAUUCCGGACAGCCGGUGAGCCGGGACACUAUGCAGUAUAUGUAAGAAGUAACCUAACAUUUCAUUUCCCACAAGGCCACAACUAGGGCUGUUAACGAAACGAAUUUUCUGUCAAAAAAAAAAAAACGAAAUGAAUUCGAAACGAAUAUCUUAAUUUUCAUAUUUGUAUUCAGUUUAGAUCCAUAUAUUCGGAUUUGUAUUCGUUUAUUAUCCGAAUAAUUAUUUGUUUUCGUAUUCGGAUUCGGUUAGAUUCACGAAUUAUUCGUAUUCGUUUAAGGUACUCAUUUAAAACAAAAUGGAACUAAAUAACUGACGUGCUAGCCGAUGACAAAAGUUAUAAACUCUCAUACUUCACCGAUUCAAGCAAACUAUAAGCAAACUAUAAGGUACUAUGGUUUGGACUAACCAUAGUACCAUACACAUGGGGACAACAUGUCCGUCUAGUUUCUAUGUGGGACUCUAUGUGGGACUCUAGUUUCUUUUCCAAUUUUUCCACUACUAAAGAAGCAACUUUGGAUCAUCACAAUUCAUCCAUUCCUUAGUCAUUUUGAGUGAAUAAACAUGCAUUGGAAAGCUCUCUCGGAGGAGAACAUAAUACAAGCAUAACCCGCCACGAACACGUAGCCGAGCCUCACUCAAAUUUGUGCUCAAAAUGACAAACUUCCAAGAAAGAUUACAUGGCAAUUCUCUAGCAAAAAUUCUUCACCAAAUAAAUAUUUUAUUUCGUUUUUAUAAAGGCCUGGUCCCUGACUAACCAUAUCCAAUUCAAGGACUCCUAGGGAGAGUGUGGCAACAAACUUCAUUUGCUUAUGGUUAUACUGAGCUCCUUGCCUCCUUGUGUAUUGAAAAUGUUCUGUUCACCUCACUGUUCAUGUGUUAAGACUAAUAUGGGAGAAUUGGUCACUUAACAUGAUAUCAUAAGAGCUCAGACCUGCUGGACACUCGAGUUCAAAAUGUCAAGAUGAUCCGAAAGGUUGAAAGAAAAUGUUAAGAUGAUGUAAACAUGAUAAGGUCAGCAGUCUCAUGUCACUGUCUUGAAUCUACUUUUUCAUACUUGGGGGCUAAGUAUCACUUUCUAUAAAUUACAGUCUCCUCAUUUUUCAAUAUACAGCUACAUUUUAUAUUCUACCUCCUUUUCUCUAAUCUUAUAUACACCAAUCAUGAGUUUAAUUCCUCUGCCUUCUGCGGGAAGUGUUUAUGCUGCAUACGCGUCGAUUUCAUCAGCAGUGAUGCUUCUGAGGACUACUUACUACCAAAUAGUCCCUCGUCAAUUUCACGAUUAUGUUCUCUCUGCCGUCUCUCGCUACUUCCACCGCACUGUCCUUGAAGAAAACUCCUCAUUCACUCUGAUUGUCGAGAAUUCUGAUGGACCUCCUUGUCAUAACUAUCUGUUUAGUUCAUUUGAAGUUUACAUGUCCACCAAAGCUUCUCCGACGACUAAUUGUCUCAAGAUCGCUAAGCUGAGCCAGAAAAGCAACGAGCUCACUACCAAAUUAGCCCGAGCUGAAACCAUGACUGACAUUCAUAAAGGUGUUGAGAUUGAGUGGAAAUUCAAUAGCAGCGAUUCACAGGAUAAAACUGAUCGUAGGAAGAAUCAUUAUUGGUUUGAGCUUCGUUUUGAAAAAGUACAUAGGGAAUUCGUUGUGAAUUCGUACAUACCAUUUGUCAUGAACGAAGCAACAGACAUGCAAAAUGCAAGGAAGGGUCUGAAGUUGUACACUUAUUCACACGACGUGUGGUCUCCGAUUAAUUUAGAGCAUUCAUCCACAUUUGAGACACUGGCGAUGGAGCCGGGUGAGAAGAAAGCUUUAAUGGAUGAUUUGGAUUUGUUUGUGAAGAGGAGAGAUUUUUUUAAGAGAGUAUGAAGGGCUUGGAAGAGAGGCUACUUGUUAUACGGGCCUCCAGGGACAGGCAAAUCGAGUUUGGUUGCAGCCAUAGCUAAUUAUCUCAAAUUUGAUAUAUAUGAUCUGCAGCUCUCGAAUGUGAACAAUGACUGGCAGUUCAGGAGAUUGUUGCUGGGAACUGCAAACAGAUCCAUUCUUGUGAUUGAAGAUAUUGAUUGUAGUGCCAGCUUGCCUAACAGGAAGACUCAAACUCAAGCAAAGAAUGGGAAAUCCAAAUCUCCCAAGGUAUUAUUACCCAAUUGCAAAUUUGGGCUUCUAACUUGAUAAAAUAGUUUUCUAAUUUAUUUGCAGUAGUUAAUAUGUGGUGGAUUCAGUUUUCACUCUCAGGACUACUGAAUUUCAUAGACGGGCUAUGGUCGAGCUGUGGAGACGAGAGGAUUAUAAUCUUCACAACCAAUCACAAGGAUAGACUUGAUCCAGCAUUGUUGCGUCCAGGACGGAUGGACAUGCACAUUCACAUGUCUUAUCUUACGAUGAAUGGUUUCAAAACAUUAGCCUCCACCUAUCUGGAAAUCAAUCACCAGCACUGGCGUUUCAGGGAGAUAGAACAGCUAUUAGGCAGCGUUGAAGCAACGCCUGCUGAAGUUGCUGAGGAACUAAUGAGGACAUGUGAUGCUGAUGCUUGUCUUGGAGGACUUGUCAAUUUCCUCAAGGAUAAGAAGAGGAAAAGGACUAUUGUUGAAUCCGGGGAGGAUGCGAAUCCUGGAGCUGAAACCACGGAUGGGGAUGACACUACUCCUGGAGUUGAACUCAUCCCAAAAGCCAAGAAAAUUAAAACUAAUGGCUUGCAGGAUGUUUUUUGUCACAAGUGAGGGGCUAUAAUGGUCGCAGAUAUUAAAUCUUCUGAUUUUGUUAUUCGCGUAAGUUCUAUUUAAUGUUUUGAAUAAUUUUAUUAAAUCUCAGACUAUUUUCUCACAGUCUUCUUCAACAUUGUACUUAAAAAGUAAGCAACUAGACAAUGUUGAAUUGAUCGAUGUAUAAUAAUUCAAAACGUCAACUUUAAAUUCGAUCUUUCUGAUCUCGGCUAUACAAUUCUUGAAAAUAGUGAACUCUGUAUCGAUGGUUUCCUUGUGUAUUGAAAAUGUUCUGUUCACUUCCACCCUUUAUGUUUCAAGGCUAAUCUGGAUGUUAGUAGAAAGUGAUGAUCUAUGAGGAGUUAAUCAGGACUACAGAGGUGACUCCAGCUGAAGUGGCUGAACAGCUGCUAAAGAGCGAUGAACCUGAUGUAUCACUUACUGGAUUAAUCAGUUUUCUUCAUACAAAGAGAAAGGAAAACGAAGAGGCCAAGGCCAAGAAAGAAGCAGAGGAGGUGGC
rnacentral:lncRNA from 1 species